UACAGAGGGGGCAAGCGUUGUUCGGAAUUACUGGGCGUAAAGGGCGCGUAGGCGGAUGUUUAAGUGUCUUGUGAAAUCCCACGGCUCAACCGUGGAACUGCUGGGCAUACUGGACAUCUCGAGGCACUCAGGGGCGAGCGGAACAAGUGGUGGAGCGGUGAAAUGCGUAGAUAUCAGGAGGAACACCGGUGGCGAAGGCGCUCAUCUGGCCCAAUACUGACGCUGAGGCGCGAAAGCGUGGGGAGCAAACAGG
rnacentral:rRNA from 1 species